UUCGUCAAACAAGGCGGGAAAAACAAAAUUAAAAUUAAAUUUGAGGUGUUGCCGAGGACUGUGAUUGCAAUGGAGAAGAUUCACGUCAGCGUCCGUGCAAAGCCUCUGUCUCAAGAUGAUGCGAAAACAAGUCCCUGGAGAAUCUCCGGCAACUCCAUCGCCAUUUCCAACCUCUCCAAAUUUGAUUUUGACCAAAUAUUCUGCGGUAGUUGUGGGACAACGGAAGUCUACGAAGCUCGUACCAAGGAUCUCGUGGAGGCCGCAGUUCGGGGAUUCAACGGCACUGUCUUCGCUUACGGGCAAACGAACAGUGGGAAGACUUACACGAUGCGAGGCUCGAAAGCUGAACCUGGAGUCAUUCCUCUCGCUGUUAACGAUUUGUUUCAAAUCAUUCAACAAGACGUGGAUCGAGAAUUUCUUCUUAGAAUGUCAUACAUGGAGAUUUAUAAUGAAGAGAUAAAUGAUUUGUUGGCCCCUGAACAUCGAAAACUGCAGAUUCACGAAAAUCUAGAGCGUGGGAUAUAUGUUGCGGGGUUGCGAGAAGAAAUUGUUGCCUCUCCUCAGCAAGUCCUUAAUCUCAUGGAGUUUGGAGAAUCUCAUAGACAUAUUGGAGAGACAAAUAUGAAUGUGUACAGUAGUAGGUCCCAUACUAUUUUCCGCAUGAUAAUUGAGAGUAGGGAUAGAAGCGAAGAUGAAGAAAGUGGCAGCUCUUGUGAUGCUGUCCGUGUAUCAGUGUUGAACUUAGUGGAUCUUGCUGGGUCAGAGCGUGCUGCAAAAACUGGUGCUGAGGGUGUUCGACUCAAAGAAGGCUCUCACAUAAACAAAAGCUUAAUGACUUUGGGAACUGUAAUUAAAAAGUUGAGUGAAGGUGCUGAGAGUCAGGGGGGUCAUGUUCCAUAUCGAGAUAGUAAGCUGACUCGAAUUUUGCAACCUUCUUUAGGAGGAAAUGCUAGAACAGCUAUAAUAUGUAAUAUCACUCUUGCGCAGAUACAUACAGAUGAAACUAAAAGCAGCCUUCAAUUUGCAAGUAGAGCAUUGCGUGUCACAAAUUGUGCUCAAGUGAAUGAGAUUUUGACCGAUGCUGCUUUAUUAAAGCGCCAAAAGAAAGAGAUUGAAGAUCUUCGUUCCAAAUUGAUGGGUUCUCAUUCAGAGCAUUUGGAAAAGGAGAUUCUGAGCCUUCGAAAUACUUUAUUACAGACUGAACUGGAAAGGGAACGCAUAGCUUUGGAACUAGAGGAGGAAAAGAAAGCUCAAGCUGAAUGGGAGAAAAGAGUAAAGGAACAAGCCAAGAAAAUUGAAAAUUUGAGUUCAAUGGUUCUAUUUUCAAAUAGGGAUGAAAGUCGUGAGCAUAUUAAAAGGGACAAGAGGCGGGAUACAUGGUGUAUAGGAAAACUUUCACAGGAGCAUCCAGGAAAUGUAUACCCUAUCAUCCAACCUAGUGCUUCUACGGUUAAACCUGGGAGACCUAAUCGAGACAUGGGACCACUUCUUCCUUUCGAGGAACUUGUAAAUGAAGAUGUUUACGUGGAUGAGUCCUUUAAGCAAAAGGACAAUAAUAAAGAUGAUGCUAACAAGGAUUGUAAUCUCCCAAACCCAUGUGCUUUAUUGCAUGUAACAAACAGGAAAAAGGCACCACGGAAGAAAAGCUUGCCAAUGCAGGAGGACAACAAAUUUCUAGAAUUGCAAGCAGAAUAUGAGAGUUUGUUUCUAAAAUUUGAAACUGAGAAAACUAUAAGUGAUAUACAGCUUGAGUCAUUGAGAAAACAGCUAAUUGAUUCAAAUUCUUUCCAUUCUAAGGAAUCUGUUGAGUCUGUAAAUUAUGCAAAUAAUGGUUGCUUGAUUGUUGAGAAAAAUGCGAAUUUUAGAGAAUCAGAUGCUAUUCUUGUUAUCAAGAGACUUCAAGAGCAGAUUAAGGUUUUGGAAAUGGAAAACUUGUCAAGCCAACAAAGCUUGGAUAAUGUUGUUGAUCUGGUAGCAGAGCAGAAUAUAUGUGGUAGGGAGAAAUGCAAAGAGCUCUAUGAAGAGCUUAUAAAUGAACAACAGGCAGCUCGAUUGGCUAAUGAGAAACUUACUUCCACUGAAACUGUGAGCAACAUUAAUGAUGGAAAUUUUGACUUUCCAAUCAGUGUUUCCUUGGAAAUUGAAGAAAUUGCAUCGGAAAUUCAAAACUCAAAAGAUGUUGUUCAAAGUGCUAUGUUUAUGGUGGAUGAUGCUAUUAAAAGUUUCUCUGCUCUCUGUGAUACUCUCCUUGUUUUCAAAACCUCAGUAUAUGAGGAUUAUGCAGAUCAAAUUUUAAUCUUGAAUAAUUCUCAGAAUUUGAUUUCUUGCCUAAGAAAGAAAAUAUUUGAGCUUGAAAGUGAGAAGGUUCUUCUAGACAACCAAGUAGCUGAUCUACAGAAGCAUCUUCAGGAAUCAAAAUUAGAUGCUCAGAAGUCCCAAAAUUCUUUGAUGGAUAACUUAGAACAACAGAAAUUUGAAAAUGCAGAGUUGAUUUCUUAUAUUCAAACUCUUGGAAAGGAUUUAUCUUGUUUGACAUCGUCUACAGUGGCCAAGGAUAGAGAAACUACAAGAAAAGAGCUGGAGAAGGUUAAAACCAAGUUAAAAGAAACUGAGUCUAAACUUAAGAUUGCGAUACAAGAGAAAACAAAAAUUGAGGGUGAGAAAGCCUAUGCGGAGCGAGAGAUUAAACAAUUACGUGGCCAAAUAUCUCUUCUUGAACGUGAUAUCAAUAAACGUGAUUCACUUGCAGGAAGAAGACGUGAUUCAAUUGUUGAAAGGGGUUCUAAGAUAUUUGAUCCUAAAAGACCAAAAGGCCUAGAACAGACAUUGCAGGAUGAGCACAAAAAACUGGAAGUUUUGGCAUUUGAAUCAGAAACAAGAAUUGCUUCGUUGGAAGAAGAAAUAACAGCUACGUUGAAGGAGAAAGAAGAGGUGAUAUCUAUUAAUGAAGGUUUGUUGUUAGAACUGGAAGGCUUGACUGAAAAGCUGAACACAUCAACCACUGAACUAUAUCAUUUGAAGGAGGAAAUUUAUGCUCUCAAGCAAAGAUUGGAAGAAUCUGAUAUCAACCAAGAAAAUUUGAAAAGCUCUAUCAAAGUACUAAUGGAAGAAAAGGAAGAGUUGGCUAUGCAACUCACUGAUUCACUUUUGGAAAUAGAGGAGGAAAGGGCAAUAUGGUCUGCCAAAGAGAAAGCAGUACUUCUAGCUAUAGAAGAACACACAAAGUCAAACAAUGUGCAAAUUACAUCAUUAUCAACAGAAUUAUUAGAAUUAUCGAAGGAAAAGGUCCAGGUUGAAGAACUGAGACAGAAACUUUCUUGUAUGGAAGUCAAAAUGCAUGCGGAUGGUGUAACAAACAACAAAGAAAUGGCUAAGCUCAGAAUGAGACUCCGCGGAACACAAGCAAAGCUGGAUGCUUUCCGUUGUAGAUACAAGGAAGCAAUCGAUGAAUCUAUCCUAACAAAUAAGAAGUAUAAAGACCAGUUGGCUUCAAAAUGCAUAGAAGUGCUUAACCUAAAGAAAGAGUUAGCAGCAGUCAAAGGGCAAUAGGAAAUUUGCAUGAUAUGUUAAAGGAUGCAAUCUCGCAUCUUGGGUCAUCUCACUCUAUGUUUGUUAAAAUUACAGGUAUGAAUAUAGUGUGGGCGCUCAGGUAAUAGUUAACUAUCAAGAAUAUCUGAAGCUGUAUUUGAAAUUAGAUUUGAAGAUUUCUGAAGGUAAUCUUAUUUUAUUUAAUGUAUCUCUCUUAUGAUAUAGGAACUUUAUUAUAUUUGAUGAAGUUAAGUGAAUAAAGUGUUUGAAGGGAAAAAACAAUUGAACCUUUAGAGGCUAUGUAAAUAAGACUGUUGUUGGGGCUUCAGAUGUAAUUAGAAAAGGGCAAGCAAUUUUGGUGAUGAAA